CUACUUGUUUUAAAGUUCAAUAACAUGUAACUGUGUUAAAUGUGCUCUGUUUGUCUGGAUAAUUCUACACAAACCGCCAACGGCGGACUUGAACAGAUCGAUAUCGCAGUUGUUUGGUGCAAGAACAUAGAAUGAUACUUGGUUUUGCCUGCCCUCAUCAAAAUAUUUUGUGAGGAAAAAAGGAUUUUACAUUUGAAAAGACGAUCCUGCAUAUUUGCUGCUGUACAUAUUGCAGUUCAUCUCAUCUGCUGCUGGAAUAAAUAUGAAAGAUGUUC